rnacentral:rRNA from 1 species
AAUUAAAUGGCCGCAGUAUUUUGACUGUGCAAAGGUAGCAUAAUUAUUAGUUUUUUAAUUGAAAGCUUGUAUGAAGGGUUGGACGAGAUAAAAUCUGUCUUUAUUUAAAUUAUUAUAGAAUUUAACUUUUAAGUCAAAAGGCUUAAAUGUAUGUAAAAGACGAGAAGACCCUAUAGAUCUUUAUUUAACUAAUAUUUUGAUAAUUUAGGAUUAUUUUAGUUUAAAGUUUUAGUUAAAUUUUAUUGGGGUAAUAUAAAGAUUAAAUAAAUUCUUUUUAUUUAUUACAUUGAUUUAUGAAUAUAUGAUCCGAUAUUAUUGAUUAUAAGAUUAAGUUACCUUAGGGAUAACAGCGUAAUUUUUUUGGAGAGCUCAUAUCGAUAAAAAAGUUUGCGACCUCGAUGUUGGAUUAAAAAUUAGCUUGGGUGCAGAAGCUCAAGAUUUUGGUCUGUUCGACCAUUAAAUUUUUACAUGAUCUGAGUUCAGACCGGCGUAAGCCAGGUCGGUUUCUAUCUUUACUUAUCUAAAAUAUUUUAGUACGAAAGGACCAAAUAUUUAAUAUAAUUAUAUUUAUUUUUUGAAUAAUAUU